rnacentral:rRNA from 1 species
AUUGAACGCUGGCGGCAUGCCUUACACAUGCAAGUCGAACGGCAGCACGGGAGCAAUCCUGGUGGCGAGUGGCGAACGGGUGAGUAAAGUAUCGGAACGUGCCCAGUCGUGGGGGAUAACGUAGCGAAAGCUACGCUAAUACCGCAUACGAUCUAUGGAUGAAACCGGGGGAUCGCAAGACCUCGCGCGAUUGGAGCGGCCGCUAUCAGAUUAGGUAGUGGGUGGGGUAAAGUCUCACCAAGCCGACGAUCUGUAGCUGGUCUGAGAGGACGACCAGCCACACUGGGACUGAGACACGGCCCAGACUCCUACGGGAGGCAGCAGUGGGGAAUUUUGGACAAUGGGCGAAAGCCUGAUCCAGCCAUGCCGCGUGCAGGAUGAAGGCCUUCGGGUUGUAAACUGCUUUUGUACGGAACGAAAAGGUUUGGCCUAAUAAGCUGAGCUCAUGACGGUACCGUAAGAAUAAGCACCGGCUAACUACGUGCCAGCAGCCGCCGUAA